GCUUGGCAAGCUAGGUGGAAGCUUGGGAAGGAAGCGGGUCAAACGAAUCGGGAGUAAAGGAAAAUGCAUAAACAUGAUGCAAGGUACACUUUGGACAACGGAAGACAAUCAAGCUCAUCGAAGAACCGAACACGAUAAAGAUACAUGCUUCCGCACCUUGCCUCGUCGUAAAUUUUAAACGACGAAUUCGAUCACUUAUGUUGAAUAACUUAUGAAUUGUGAAAGUUUUAAUAAACUCGUAUUCUUUUA